GAUGAAGAACGUAGCGAAAUGCGAUAAGUAAUGUGAAUUGCACAAUUCAGUGAAUCAUCGAAUCUUUGAACGCACAUUGCGCCCCCUGGUAUUCCGGGGGGCAUGCCUGUCCGAGCGUCAUUACAACCCUCAAGCUCAGCUUGGUGUUGGGCCCCGCCGCCCCGGCGGGCCCUAAAGUCAGUGGCGGUGCCGUCCGGCCCCGAGCGUAGUAAUUCUUCUCGCUCUGGAGGUCCGGUCGUGUGCUCGCCAGCAACCCCCAAUUUUUUUCAGGUUGACCUCGGAUCAGGUAGGGAUACCCGCUGAACUUAAGCAUAUCAAUAAGCGGAGGA
rnacentral:misc_RNA from 1 species